AAUAAAUUUACAAGUUAUAUUAUAUUUAAUAUAAGUGUAUAGACAUUAUUAUAACAUUGUAUAGAUUUUAUUAAAGUAUAAUCCACGCUCCACGGUGUAAAGUAGAUCUUCUCAGAGUUCAGAACUUCAGAAUUUGUAAAUGAAAAACAGAAGCACACUACACGGUGUCACAGCUACUACCUUCGACCAUAUCACCACAGACGUCACAUGUGGCAGGAGGUGUUGAGAUGCUGCUCGCACAAUACCAUCCAUGGCCACAGUCCAACAGUAUGUAUUGGGCCUGGUCUGGUACAUAUUGUACAUGGUGCAUACAUCCAAGGCACUGACUUCCAAUUGGAUCGAGUAAUGAAGUUAACAUGCAUUAUAUGGAUGGGCUGUGUUGUGGGAAAUUAUACUUUGCAAACUCCGCAUUUAUCUAAUCGAAUCGCACACUCAUCACAGCACCAUCUGUGACCGCAAGGCACCAAUAUGUUGGCCGAAUUUACUUGGCUCCAACAUUCAAGGCAAAUAAAACAUCUGUCUACAGUGUCACCUUUAGAAUAAAAAGUAUAAUAUUGUGGCAGCAUGAUGGUUUUUACGGAAUAAUGUCACCAUGCCAUGGGUCUGGACAAAACAAAAAAUGCUCUUCAAACAAAUAGUGCAUUUGAGAAUAUAAUUUCUUUAUUGGCUAGGGUAAAUCACAAAUGCUGAAAUACAUUAAGAAUAUCAGUGAACUCGUAAACUUUUUUUUAGUUAAUAGUUUUUUUAAUGUACCUAAUUUCUUUUAAAUACUAUUGUAUUUUACAUUGAUAUAAUAUAACAUGACGUAUACAUAAGAUGUACUAAGUAUACUGUGUUCAAGUUGAGAAAUAUAGUUCAAUAUAAUUUAUUAUGAUUAGAGACCGGAAUUCUAUGCAUUUGCAUGUUCAUACUGAGUGUAUGCACUUAUACGAGGGUUAAAAAGCCAGGAUUAUGAAAGCGAGGGGAUUACUUACAUACUUUUUAAAAAUGUACUUUUUCUAGUAGAUUCAUGAAAUAACCUGCGUAGACGUAUAAUACUCAAAAUUACAAUCUUAAAAAGUUCAUAACCUUGGAACUAAGUCUUGCAGACAAAUUCUGAUUGCAUCAUUGUGCUUAACUCAUUGAAAUAUAAAUAUAGGUUCCCGAAAAAAAUUCCCAAAAAUCGAGCUAAACUGCAUUAUUUCAAUAUAUUUGUGCAAUAUUGCAAUAGUGAUUAGUGUUUAAUACUAAGUUAUAUUAUCUGGAUUUGGGUUUUUAUUUGUUGUUUCUUAAUAAAUUUGAAAAAAAAAUAAUAAGUUACCUAUGAACCAUAAAUUACUUCAGCGUUGCCUCUGUUAAUAAUUAUUCGUGGGACGUGGCAUUAUCAACUCUUAUUAUCUCGACUUAAUAUUUUGAUUACAUAUUAAACUUAAAAAUAAGAAACUAGUGUUGUGAUGCAUGUCCUUUAAGUACCUAAUACAUUUAUGAACAGUGAUAUAAAACUAUUAAACUGUAGGUACGUAACUUCGGUAUACAUUUGGGAGGGCUAAUUUAAAACUUUGUGGCUUAGCCCCACAAGCCCCCACCUAGCUCCGCCUAUGGCUUGGGGGAACGAAUUAGACAAAUUUAGUCAAUUUGCGCCUAUGUCUCAAUUCAUGCUUUGUCAUUUCAGAUAUUUUCACAAUGGUGAUGAUUAGAUGAUUUGAAAAUUUAAACGACCACAAAACCAAAAAAAAAAACAAUUUCGGUAUAUUUUUCGCUCAAUGAGCAAUUCCAGUGUUUGGGUCUUACAUAAUAUUAUAUCGGUACAAUUUUAAUUGAUACAAGCUGCUUAUAAUAACUUAAUAUUAAUAGGUAAAUAGUACCUAACUACAAAGUUGAGAUUAAAAUUAAAAAUGCUUUAGCCUCUCUAGCUCAACAAUAGACGCAUUAGCGUAGCGGCAUGGUGAACAUGGAUUAACCAUGAUGCCCAGGAUAUACUUCAGUAUUAUUAUAAGAAACAAAAUAAUCGAAAUUAGAAAUUUUUAAAUCAUGACCAAAAUAUGUUUAUAAAUGCUAUAAUUGUCUAAAUUAAUAUUAUAAAUGGAUUUAAUAAUCAUUAAAGUUUUUUUUAAAUUGUUACCUAUGUAAUAUCCAGUAUCCUAACAUUUACUUACCUACCUAAUAACUAGGUAGAUACUAGAUACUAUAAUAGGUUAAUUCUACAGAAAAAGUAGAUAAUAUUAUUCAUUGAUCGUUUUUACGUACAAUAUUUCUAUAUUAGACAUUUCUAAGUAAAAUGUAGUUUAAAGAUAAUUCGCAAAUGAUCCUUGUCUCCCGGAACAUGUCGAGUACUCUUUUUCACCAUAAUAUGUUUAAAUCACCAUUUUUUAUAAAUUAUAAAAAUUUCGUGCUAUAAAUAGGUAUAAAUAUAUCAAUAAAAAAAAGAGAUAAUCUCAUUUUUCAUCUUUAGAAUAGGGUGUUAUAAAUUGCAAUUUUCUAGUACUUGUUUUUCAACUAUUUAUUGUAAUUAUGUUUAAGGAUUCUCAAUACAAUACAGUUACACCAUCACAUUUAUUUAAUGUUCAUAAUAAGUUAACAAUUUUAUACAAUUAUAUUAUUUAAUUUACAUUCAAUAUAAUUCAGAAUCCAGGAUUCACAUGAUAAAAUAACACUAAAAUAAUUAUUUACUGAGCCUAAAAAAUAUCAUUGAAAUGUGCAUUAAUACUACCUUAAUAUCUUAAUACCUUAAUACUACCUUAAUACUACCUUCUAUUAAUUUGAAAAACAGAAAAACUAUUAUUAGACAGAGGAAACAUAAAAGGAAUAUAUAUCAAUUUAUAAAAUAUUGUUAAAACUAAGCAUAUUAUUAUUCAUUUAAGAACUUAAAAUUUACUUUAAAAUAAAUUUUACAUUAUAAAAUAUAUACUAAUUAAUUACAGCUUAUUGAAUUGUUUGAAUUGUAUUAAUUGUUAUUCUACCAAUAAAUUUAUUGAAAUAACUUCGUUCUAUGUUAUAAAUUGUAUAUAAUAUAAUAUAAAUAUAUAUAUAUUUUUUUUGAUAAGCUUCUAUAAACUCUGCAAAAUCAGAACAGCACAAUGGAA